rnacentral:rRNA from 1 species
AGUGAACGCUGGCGGUAGGCCUAACACAUGCAAGUCGAACGGCAGCACAGUAAGAGCUUGCUCUUACGGGUGGCGAGUGGCGGACGGGUGAGGAAUACAUCGGAAUCUACUUUUUCGUGGGGGAUAACGUAGGGAAACUUACGCUAAUACCGCAUACGACCUACGGGUGAAAGCAGGGGAUCUUCGGACCUUGCGCGAUUGAAUGAGCCGAUGUCGGAUUAGCUAGUUGGCGGGGUAAAGGCCCACCAAGGCGACGAUCCGUAGCUGGUCUGAGAGGAUGAUCAGCCACACAGGAACUGAGACACGGUCCGGACUCCUACGGGAGGCAGCAGUGGGGAAUAUUGGACAAUGGGCGCAAGCCUGAUCCAGCCAUACCGCGUGGGUGAAGAAGGCCUUCGGGUUGUAAAGCCCUUUUGUUGGGAAAGAAAAGCAGCAGGUUAAUACCCCGCUGUUCUGACGGUACCCAAAGAAUAAGCACCGGCUAACUUCGUG